UACGGAGGAUUUAAGCGUUAUCCGGAUUUAUUGGGUUUAAAGGGUGCGUAGGCGGUCGGAUAAGUUAGAGGUGAAAUCCCGGGGCUCAACUUCGGAAUUGCCUCUGAUACUGUUCGGCUAGAGAGUAGUUGCGGUAGGCGGAAUGUAUGGCGUAGCGGUGAAAUGCUUAGAGAUCAUACAGAACACCGAUUGCGAAGGCAGCUUACCAAGCUACUUCUGACGUUGAGGCACGAAAGCGUGGGGAGCAAACAGG
rnacentral:rRNA from 1 species